rnacentral:rRNA from 1 species
GAUGAACGCUGGCGGCGUGCCUAAUACAUGCAAGUCGAGCGAACAGAUAAGGAGCUUGCUCCUUUGACGUUAGCGGCGGACGGGUGAGUAACACGUGGAUAACCUACCUAUAAGACUGGGAUAACUUCGGGAAACCUGAGCUAAUACCGGAUAACAUAUUGAACCGCAUGGUUCAAUAGUGAAAGGCGGCUUUGCUGUCACUUAUAGGUGGAUCCGCGCCGUAUUAGCUAGUUGGUAAGGUAACGGCUUACCAAGGCAACGAUACGUAGCCGACCUGAGAGGUUGAUCAGCCACACUGGAACUGAGACACGGUCCAGACUCCUACGGGAGGCAGCAGUAGGGAAUCUUCCGCAAUGGGCGAAAGCCUGACGGAGCAACGCCGCGUGAGUGAUGAAGGUCUUCGGAUCGUAAAACUCUGUUAUCAGGGAAGAACAGAUGUGGAAGAAACUGUGCACAUCUUGACGGUACCUGAUCAGAAAGCCACGGCUAACUACGUG